rnacentral:rRNA from 1 species
AUUGAACGCUGGCGGCAGGCCUAACACAUGCAAGUCGAGCGAGCGGCGGACGGGUGAGUAAUGUCUGGGAACCUGCCUGAUGGCGGGGGAUAGCUACUGGAAACGGUAGAUAGUACCGCAUACAAUCAGAUGUGCCCACAUGGGAAUAGCUAGUAGGUGGGGUAACGGCUCACCUAGGCGACGAUCACUAGCUGGGCUGAGAGGAUGACCAGCCACACUGGAAAUGAGACACGGUCCAGACUCCGACGGGAGGCAGCAGUGGGGAAUAGUGCACAAUGGGCGCAAGCCUGAUGCAGCCAUGCCGCGUGUGUGAAGAAGGCCUUUGGGUUGGAAAGCACUUUCAGCGGGGAGGCGUUACCCGCAGAAGAAGCACCGGCUAACGCCGUGCCAGCAGCCGCGGUAAUUC